UACGAAGGGGGCUAGCGUUGCUCGGAAUCACUGGGCGUAAAGCGCACGUAGGCGGCUUUUUAAGUCAGAGGUGAAAGCCUGGAGCUCAACUCCAGAACUGCCUUUGAGACUGCAUCGCUUGAAUCCAGGAGAGGUGAGUGGAAUUCCGAGUGUAGAGGUGAAAUUCGUAGAUAUUCGGAAGAACACCAGUGGCGAAGGCGGCUCACUGGACUGGUAUUGACGCUGAGGUGCGAAAGCGUGGGGAGCAAACAGG
rnacentral:rRNA from 1 species